AUGAACGCUGGCGGCGUGCCUAAUACCUGCAAGUCGCGCGAACAGACGAGGAGCUUGCUCCUCUGACGUUAGCGGCGGACGGGUGAGUAACACGUGGAUAACCUACCUAUAAGACUGGGAUAACUUCGGGAAACCGGAGCUAAUACCGGAUAAUAUAUUGAACCGCAUGGUUCAAUAGUGAAAGACGGUUUUGCUGUCACUUAUAGAUGGAUCCGCGCCGCAUUAGCUAGUUGGUAAGGUAACGGCUUACCAAGGCAACGAUGCAUAGCCGACCUGAGAGGGUGAUCGGCCACACUGGAACUGAGACACGGUCCAGACUCCUACGGGAGGCAGCAGUAGGGAAUCUUCCGCAAUGGGCGAAAGCCUGACGGAGCAACGCCGCGUGAGUGAUGAAGGUCUUCGGAUCGUAAAACUCUGUUAUUAGGGAAGAACAAAUGUGUAAGUAACUAUGCACGUCUUGACGGUACCUAAUCAGAAAGCCACGGCUAACUACGUG
rnacentral:rRNA from 1 species